UACAGAGGGGGCAAGCGUUGUCCGGAAUUACUGGGCGUAAAGAGCUCGUAGGUGGUUUGUCGCGUUGUCCGUGAAAACUCACAACUCAAUUGUGGGCGUGCGGGCGAUACGGGCAGACUGGAGUACUGCAGGGGAGACUGGAAUUCCUGGUGUAGCGGUGGAAUGCGCAGAUAUCAGGAGGAACACCGGUGGCGAAGGCGGGUCUCUGGGCAGUAACUGACGCUGAGGAGCGAAAGCGUGGGGAGCGAACAGG
rnacentral:rRNA from 2 species